rnacentral:rRNA from 1 species
GGUUUGAUUCUGCUCAGAUUGAACGCUGGCGGAUGCUUUACACAUGCAAGUCGAACGGCAGCACGGACUUCGGUCUGGUGGCGAGUGGCGAACGGGUGAGUAAUGUAUCGGAACGUGCCUAGUAGUGGAUAACUUACGCAGCAGCUGGACUACUGCAGCAUUAUUCUUCGGGGAAAGGACCUUCUGGCCGCAUCAUUAGAGCGGCCGAUAUCGGAUUAGCUAGUUGGUGGGUAACGGCUCACCAAGGCGACGAUCCGUAGCUGGUUUGAGAGGACGACCAGCCACACUGGGACUGAGACACGGCCCAGACUCAGCGUGGAGGCAGCGGCGGAAUUCUUCGACAAUGGGGAAACCCUGAUCCAGCCAUCCCGCGUGUGCGAUGAAGGCCUCGGGCUGUAAAGCACUUUUGGCAGGAGAACCGCACCAGGAGCAGCACCGCGCGCAAACUGACGGUACCCAUUGGCACCGGCUAAAUCUACGCUGCAGCAGCCGCGGUAAUACGUAGGGUGCAAGCGUUAAUCGGAAUUACUGGGCGUAAGCGUGUAAGCAGGCGGUUCGGAAAGGAAGAUGUGUGAAUCCGAGCCAUCUCUUGAACUGCAUUUUUAACCACUCGAGCUAGAGGUGUCAGAGUGUGAGUGGAAUUCCGCGUGUAGCAGUGGGAAUGGUGUAGAUAUGCGGAGGAACACCGAUGGCGUGGCUGCAGCCUCCUGGGAUAACACUGACGCUCAUGCACGAAAGUGUAUGUCAGGGAUUAGACAUCGCAGUCCUACGCCUUAAAUCGAGGCCAACUAGCUGUUGGGCUUUGGCCUUGUAGCAGUUAACGGUGUGAAGUUGACCAGCCUGGGGAGUACGGCCGCAAGAUUAAAACCCGAAGCACUGAUGGGACCCGCACAAGCAGUGGAUGGAUGUAUCAAUUCGAUGCAACGCGAAAACCCUUUGACCUACCUUGACAUGUCUGGAAUCCCGAAGAGAUUUGGGAGUGCUCGCAAGAGAACCGGAACACAGGUGCUGCAUGGCUGUCGCUCGCUCGUGUCGAGAUGUUGGGUUAAGUCCCGCAACGAGCGCAACUCCUUGUCAUUAGUUGCUACGAAAGGGCACUCUAAUGAGACUGCCGGUGACAAACCGGAGGAAGGUGGGGAUGAUCGUCCCUGCGGCCCUUGCGGUAGCUCACUGCCCAAGGCCGGCCGGGACAGAGGGUCACAACCCGAGGGGAGCUAAUCCCAGAAACCCGAUCGUAGUCCGGAUCGCAGUCUGCAACUCGACUGCGGAAGCUGGAAUCGGGCGAAUCGCGGGAUCAGCAGCGGUUUGCAGGAAUACGUUCCUGGUCUUGUACACCGCCCGCCUAUGGAUGGGUUUUACCAGAAGUAUAGCCUAACCGUGGCGAGGAGAUUAC